rnacentral:rRNA from 1 species
GCUGCAACUCGCCUACAUGAAGUUGGAAUCGCAGUAAUCGCGAAUCAGAAUGUCGCGGUGAAUACGUUCCCGGGUCUUGUACACACCGCCCGUCACACCACGAGAGUUUACAACACCCGAAGUCAGUGGCCUAACCGCAAGGAGGGAGCUGCCUAAGGUGGGGUAGAUGAUUGGGGUGAAGUCGUAACAAGGUACC